GACAUGCAGAGAACUUCCAGAGAUGGAUUGGUGCCUUCGGGAACUCUGACACAGGUGCUGCAUGGCUGUCGUCAGCUCGUGUCGUGAGAUGUUGGGUUAAGUCCCGUAACGAGCGCAACCCUUGUCCUUAGUUACCAGCACGUUAUGGUGGGCACUCUAAGGAGACUGCCGGUGACAAACCGGAGGAAGGUGGGGAUGACGUCAAGUCAUCGAUGGCCCUUACGGCCUGGGCUACACACGUGCUACAAUGGUCGGUACAAAGGGUUGCCAAGCCGCGAGGUGGAGCUAAUCCCAUAAAACCGAUCGUAGUCCGGAUCGCAGUCUGCAACUCGACUGCGUGAAGUCGGAAUCGCUAGUAAUCGUGAAUCAGAAUGUCACGGUGAAUACGUUCCCGGGCCUU
rnacentral:rRNA from 1 species